rnacentral:rRNA from 1 species
ACGCUCGACACCUACGGGAGGCAGCAGUAGGGAAUCUUCCACAAUGGGCGCAAGCCUGAUGGAGCAACACCGCGUGAGUGAAGAAGGGUUUCGGCUCGUAAAGACUCUGUUGUUGGAGAAGAACGUGCGUGAGAGUAACUGUUCACGCAGUGACGGUAUCCAACCAGAAAGUCACGGCUAACUACGUGCUAGCAGCCGCGGUAAUCUGAGCGGGCUGGCAAGGC